GACGAACGCUGGCGGCAUGCCUAACACAUGCAAGUCGAACGGGACCUUCGGUUUUAGUGGCGCGACGGUGGGUAACGCCUUGAAAACUGCCCUUAGGUUCGGGAACACUCACCGGAAACGGUGCUAAUUACGGCGAAUGUCGUCGGACAAAAGAUUUAUCGCGUUGGGGUGGGCGCGCGUGUGUUUAUCGAGUUGGUAGGGUAAAAGCAUACAACGGCGCAGAGCCAUAGCUGGUCUGAGAGGAUGAUCAGCCACACUGGGACUGAGACACGGCCCAGACUCAUACGGGAGGCAGCAGUGGGGAAUACUGGACAAUGGGCGAGAGUCUGAGCCAGCAAUGCCGCGUGAGUGAUGAAGGCCUUAGGGUUGUAAAGCUCUUUUACCCGGGAUGAUAAUGACAGUACCGGGAGAAUAAGCUCCGGCUAACUCCGUG
rnacentral:rRNA from 1 species